AUAGCAGAUGUUAAUCUUCAGAUACCUGUGAAAACCAAACACUGCUUUUCUCCAAACCCUGAAGAAAUAAGACUGAACUUCAUCCUCAGUCUACUUUGACUGAACUAGAAUAUUAUGUGGAAUAACCGGGGGAAUCUCAAAAGAAGAGGCUGUGUAACGGUUCAUGCAUGGGAGGUUUUUGCAGCUCCUUGGCUAAAGGUGAACUGGUCCGAAGGAUUUUUGUACUCUGUACAGUAAAGAAAAACUAGGGAUGAAGAUGUGGAAAGACAUGUUGUACAAUAACCACGAAAAGCUCCCGAUAGAGAUGGUGGAAGGAGAAAAU